rnacentral:rRNA from 1 species
AUUGAACGCUGGCGGCAUGCCUUACACAUGCAAGUCGAACGGCAGCACGGGUGCUUGCACCUGGUGGCGAGUGGCGAACGGGUGAGUAAUACAUCGGAACGUACCUUAUCGUGGGGGAUAACGCAGCGAAAGCUGUGCUGAUACCGCAUACGCCCUGAGGGGGAAAGCGGGGGAUCGAAAGACCUCGCGCGAUUAGAGCGGCCGAUGCCUGAUUAGCUUGUUGGUGGGGUAAAAGCCCACCAAGGGGACGAUCAGUAGCUGGUCUGAGAGGACGAUCAGCAACACUGGGACUGAGACACGGCCCAGACUCCUACGGGAGGCAGCAGUGGGGAAUUUUGGACAAUGGGGGCAACCCUGAUCCAGCAAUGCCGCGUGAGUGAAGAAGGCCUUCGGGUUGUAAAGCUCUUUUGUCAGGGAAGAAACACCGGCUCUAACACAGUCCGGGAAUGACGGUACCUGAAGAAUAAGCACCGGCUAACUACGUGCCAGCCGCCGCAGUAA